rnacentral:rRNA from 1 species
CCUACGGGAGGCAGCAGUGGGGAAUAUUGGGCAAUGGAGGAAACUCUGACCCAGCAACGCCGCGUGAAUGAUGAAGGUCUUCGGAGUGUAAAGUUCUUUUCUAAGGGAAGAAGAAAGUGACGGUACCUUCGGAAUAAGCCUCGGCUAACUACGGGCCAUCAGCCGCGGUCAUACGUAGGAGGCGGGCGUUAUCCGGAAUGACUGGGCGUAAAGGGUGCGUUGGGGGUUUGGCAAGUUAGUAGCGUAACUCCAAGGCCCAACCUUGGAACUACUACUAAAACUGUUGUACUUGAGUGCAGGAGAGGCAACCGGAAUUCCUAGUGUAGCGGUGGAAUGCGUAGAUAUUAGGAGGAACACCAGUGGCGAAGGCGGGUUGCUAGACUCUAACUGACACUGAGGCACGAAAGCGUGGGGAGCAAACAGGAUUAGAUACCCUAGUAGUC